rnacentral:rRNA from 1 species
GAAAGUAAACAAGGGCGCAUGGAGGAUGCCUAGGCUCUCGGAGGCGAAGAAGGACGUGAUAAGCUGCGAAAAGUUACGGUAAGGCGCAAAUAGCCGUAGACCCGUAAAUAUCCGAAUGGGGCAACCCGGCCAGCAAUGGCCAUACCGCCAAGCGGUAAGCCAACGCGGGGAACUGAAACAUCUAAGUACCCGCAGGAAAAGAAAAUAACAAUGAUUCCGCCAGUAGUGGCGAGCGAACGCGGAACAGCCCAAACCACCCGUGUUACGGCACGGGUGGGGUAGAAGGAUCCACGAUACGGCAAGAAAUAAGUUAGCAGAAUACGAUGGAAAUCGUAGCCAAAGACGGUGACAGCCCGGUACGCGAAAACCGACAGAAGCCCAGUGGACACCUGAGUAACCCAGGACACGAGAAAUCCGGGGCGAAUCAGCGGGGCCCAUCCCGUAAGGCUAAAUACUCCCGAGAGACCGAUAGCGAACCAGUACUGUGAAGGAAAGGUGAAAAGAACCUCGAACAGAGGAGUGAAAGAGACCCUGAAACCAUGCGCCUACAAGCGGUCGGAGCAUGUUAAAAUGUGACGGCGUGCCUUUUGCAUAAUGAACCUACGAGUUACUCUCGCUGGCAAGGUUAAGCGAUUCAGUCGCGCAGCCGAAGCGAAAGCAAGUCCGAACAAGGCGUACAGUCAGCGGGAGUAGACGCGAAACCAAGUGAUCUACCCUUGGUCAGGUUGAAGGUUGGGUAACACCAACUGGAGGACCGCACCGAUAAGCGUUGAAAAGCUUACGGAUGAACUGAGGGUAGGAGUGAAAGGCCAAUCAAACUUGGAGAUAGCUCGUACUCCCCGAAAUGCAUUUAGGUGCAGCCUCGAAGCAGAGUGAUAGAGGUAGAGCGACUGAUAAGAUGCGAGGGCUUCACCGCCUAUCAAGUCUUGACAAACUCCGAAUACUAUCACUUGAUCUUUGGGAGUGAGGGCAUGGGUGCUAAGGUCCAUGUCCGAAAGAGGAACAACUCAGACCACCGGCUAAGGUCCCGAAAUAAGGGCUAAGUUGAAUAAACGAAGUAAAACUGCAAAGACAGCUAGGAUGUUGGCUUGGAAGCAGCCAUUCAUUUAAAGAGUGCGUAACAGCUCACUAGUCGAGGAGUUUUGCAUGGAUAAUAAUCGGGCAUAAGCCCUUUACCGAAGCUGUGGAUGUCGCAAGACAUGGUAGGGGAGCAUUCCGGCGGCGACGAAGGCCGUCCUCGAGGACGACUGGAGCUUUCGGAAAAGCAAAUGUAGGUAUAAGUAACGAUAAAGGGGGCGUGAAACCCCCUCGCCAUAAGACUAAGGAUUCCUGAUCAACGCUAAUCGGAUCAGGGUAAGUCGGGCCCUAAGGCGCAGCCGAACGGCGUAGCCGAUGGAAGAAACGGUAAAGAUUCCGUUACUGGAUAUAGGAGCGAUGUGGAGACGGAGAAGUGACACACCCGCCUGCCGACGGAAGCGCAGGUUAAAGGAAGUAGGUAAACGCCGGGCAGGCAAAUCCGCCCAGCGUGCCGAAGCUGACAGUAUCGAGAGCCCCCGGGCAAUCGAAUAGCGGUGGUAACCAGGCUCCCAAGAAAAUCCGCUAAGCAAAUUCUAUAUCCACCCGUACCCCAAACGGACACACGUAGUCGGGUAGAAUAUACCAAGGCGCUCGAAAGACUCACGGUUAAGGAACUAGGCAAAUUGACCCUGUAACCUCGGGAAAAAGGGUCCCCAGUAAGAUGGGGCGCAGAGAAUAGGUCCAGGCAACUGUUUAACAAAAACACAGGGCUGUGCAAAAUUUCAAGAUGAAGUAUACAGCCUGACACCUGCCCGGUGCCGGAAGGUUAAGAGGAGAGCUAAUCGCAAGAGAAGGCUUGAAUUGAAGCCCCGGUAAACGGCGGCCGUAACUAUAACGGUCCUAAGGUAGCGAAAUUCCUUGUCGGGUAAGUUC